GGAAGCCAUUUCCUUCCUUCUUCCAUAACUUGCAGCCCCAUCGGCUGCCACCUCCCUCCCAUUGCACAUUCAAGGAAACUCCUGAAAAGAUAGAACCGACGACAAACCAAGGCAGAGCAGAGCUGCAAGUCUGUUCAUCUUAAAAGAACUGGCUUGACGGAAGUCAGAAGGCUGUCCGAAACUGUCACGUGCACUGACAACACAUCAAGGCGGAGAAGAGUUGCAAGUCUGUUCGUCUUCAUAAAACUGGAUGGACAGAAUUCAGAAAGCAGGCCAGAACUGAAAGAAGCCUGUCUUCAUACCCACGUAAGGAAAGGAAUCUUUUCACAGUCAGAGGAGACCCAAUAGAAGAAGAAGAUGGAAGAGCACAACCUAGGAGGACCUGGACUUGGAAAGAGAUCAAGGAAAGAGCCCAAUCCCAUCCAAGCUGGGAGUGUUGUUGCAUUCUGGAAGAGAGCUGUGCCAGAGGUCUGGGAGACCUUGAAUUCAGAAGUACUUUGCCAUUAAGCUUCCAGACAGUUCCCG